rnacentral:rRNA from 1 species
AAUCAACGCUGGCGGCGUGCCUCAGACAUGCAAGUCGAACGAUUAAACUUUCCUUCGGGAAAGAUAUAAAGUGGCGUACGGGUGAGUAACACGUAAGUAAUCUACCUUCGAGUGGGGAAUAACGUUCGGAAACGAACGCUAAUACCGCAUAAUGCAGCGGCAUCAUAUGAUGACAGUUGUUAAAGCAUUUAUGCGCUUGAAGAGGAGCUUGCGGCAGAUUAGCAGUUGGUAAGGUAAUGGCUUACCAAGGCAACGAUCUGUAUCCGGUCUAAGAGGACGGUCGGACACACUGACACUGAAUAACGGGUCAGACUCCUACGGGAGGCAGCAGUCGGGAAUUUUGGGCAAUGGGCGAAAGCCUGACCCAGCAACGCCGCGUGAAGGAUGAAGUCUUUCGGGUAGU